rnacentral:rRNA from 1 species
AUUGAACGCUGGCGGCAGGCCUAACACAUGCAAGUCGAACUCGUGGCGGACGGGUCAGUCAUGUCUGGGAAACUGCCUGAUGGGGGGGGAUAACUACUGGAAAAGGUAGCUCAUAACGCAUACCAUCAGAUGUGCCCAGAUGGGAUUAGCUAGUUGGUGGGGUAACGGCUCACCAAGGAGACGAUCCCUAGCUGGUCUUAGUGGAUGACCAGACACACUGGAACUGGGACACGGACAAGACUCCUACGGGAGGCAGCGGUGGGGAAGAGUGCACAAUGGGCGCAAGCCGUAUGCAGCCAUGCGGCGUGUAUGAAGAAGGCCUUCAGGUUGUAAAGUACUUUCAGGGGGGAGGCGUUACCCGCAGAAGAAGCACCGGCUAACGCCGGGCCAGCAGCCGCGGUAAUUC